AUUGAACGCUGGCGGCAGGCCUAACACAUGCAAGUCGAGCGAGCGGCGGACGGGUGAGUAAUGUCUGGGAAACUGCCUGAUGGAGGGGGAUAACUACUGGAAACGGUAGCUAAUACCGCAUACCAUCAGAUGUGCCCAGGUGGGAUUAGCUAGUAGGUGGGGUAACGGCUCACCUAGGCGACGAUCCCUAGCUGGACUGAGAGGAUGACCAGCCACACUGGAACUGAGACACGGGCAAAACGCGUACGGGAGGCGGCAUGGGGGAAGAUUGCACAAUGGGCGCAAGCCUGAUGCAGCCAUGGCGCGUGGGGGAAGAAGGACUUCGUGUUGUAAAGCACUUUCAGCGGGGAGACGUUAGCCGCAGAAGAAGCACCGGCUAACUCCGUGCCAGCAGCCGCGGUAAUAC
rnacentral:rRNA from 1 species